AUAGGUGCAUUCGCGGGUGGCGCAGUAUUCUAGUCAGUCGUCCAACUCUGAAGGCGGGGCUAAAAAUCCGCCAAAGGGCACAUCGAUGAAGUUCCUGGUGGUGGCUUGGGGAGCCCAGCCCUGGGUUGUUACUGGGAGUUAAGAAAGGUGGGCAACGUGCAAUGGCAUGCGCGACCUGACCCAUCUUUCGCGGAGGCCCAAGUGCGUGGCCUGCUAAGAUACGAGGCGAUGGCUUGGGGUAUGAACCUGCAUGCGGAGCCAAUCUGUGUGCAGUGUAGCCUGCCUUGAGCGGGAGUCAAGGAUUGCGGGAAACAGGCAAUUGCUCCCUGGCCAGGGAUGCGCUGCUGGUGCUGCAUGAAAUGACUCAACGCAAAAGAGGCUAUGAGUUGGUAACGGCUGUCGCGGAAAACGCCUAGACUGUUCGCCGUAGCGUGGCUCUUUGGGGAUUAUAGUGUGGACUAAGUGGUAAUCCAGUCUGACCGCUGGCGACACGGUCAAGGGAUGCGUAAAGGGAAACCGCCUAUGUGGCGACACAUGGGUGCAUCCUUGGGAAAACCUACUGGACCUAAGCCACAGCGUUUACCCAAAGAGCUGCCACCCAUCAGUGUUUUCUU
rnacentral:sRNA from 1 species